rnacentral:lncRNA from 1 species
CUGAGUAGCUAGGACCACAGGCACAUGCCACCACGCCUGGAAUAUGCUCUCCAUGAGGGUGUUCUUCAGGGCCUACCACAAUGGCUGGCACUAGAGAAGGGCACAAAAUUGAAGAACAGUGAAGACAAAAGCAAUAAGAUGAUUAAGGCCAUGUGAGACAGCAACAAUAUCAGUGUCAACAGUGGCGGAAAGGGAAGUUUGUAUCACCUGUGUUAAUGCUGCUCUGGAAAGGGAGCCAGAAUGAGAGUGCACAGUGAUCACACAGUCACCAUCAAAUAAACCAUGAC